GGCGGCGCAUAACACAUGCAAGUCGAGCGAGGGCUUAUUUCUCGCAAGAGAGAUAAGUUCCUAGCGGCGAACGGGUGAGUAACACGUGGGCAACCUUUCCUAUCGCGGGGGAUAACAGCGGGAAACCGCUGCUAAUACCGCAUGUCGUCACCGGUCACAUGGCUGGUGAAGAAAGCAGCAAUGCACGAUGGGGUGGGCCCGCGGCCUAUCAGCUAGUCGGUGGGGUAACGGCCUACCGAGGCAAUGACGGGUAGCUGGUCUGAGAGGACGGCCAGCCACACGGGGACUGAGACACGGCCCCGACUCCUACGGGAGGCAGCAGUGAGGAAUCUUCCGCAAUGGGCGAAAGCCUGACGGAGCGACGCCGCGUGUGCGAUGAAGUCCUUCGGGAUGUAAAGCACUGUCNGAGGGGAAGACAUAAAAGACGGUACCCUCCAAGAAAGCCCCGGCUAACUACGUGCCAGCAGCCGCGGUAAUAC
rnacentral:rRNA from 1 species